GGUUAAGCGACUAAGCGUACACGGUGGAUGCCCUGGCAGUCAGAGGCGAUGAAGGACGUGCUAAUCUGCGAAAAGCGUCGGUAAGGUGAUAUGAACCGUUAUAACCGGCGAUGUCCGAAUGGGGAAACCCAGUGCAAUUCGUUGCACUAUCGUUAACUGAAUACAUAGGUUAACGAGGCGAACCGGGGGAACUGAAACAUCUAAGUACCCCGAGGAAAAGAAAUCAACCGAGAUUCCCCCAGUAGCGGCGAGCGAACGGGGAGCAGCCCAGAGUCUGAAUCAGCUUGUGUGUUAGUGGAACGGUCUGGAAAGUCCGACGGUACAGGGUGAUAGUCCCGUACACAAAAAUGCACAGGCUGUGAACUCGAAGAGUAGGGCGGGACACGUGGUAUCCUGUCUGAAUAUGGGGGGACCAUCCUCCAAGGCUAAAUACUCCUGACUGACCGAUAGUGAACCAGUACCGUGAGGGAAAGGCGAAAAGAACCCCGGCGAGGGGAGUGAAAAAGAACCUGAAACCGUGUACGUACAAGCAGUGGGAGCACCUUCGGGUGUGACUGCGUACCUUUUGUAUAAUGGGUCAGCGACUUAUAUUCUGUAGCAAGGUUAACCGUAUAGGGGAGCCGCAGGGAAACCGAGUCUUAACUGGGCGUUAAGUUGCAGGGUAUAGACCCGAAACCCGGUGAUCUAGCCAUGGGCAGGUUGAAGGUUGGGUAACACUAACUGGAGGACCGAACCGACUAAUGUUGAAAAAUUAGCGGAUGACUUGUGGCUGGGGGUGAAAGGCCAAUCAAACCGGGAGAUAGCUGGUUCUCCCCGAAAGCUAUUUAGGUAGCGCCUCGUGAACUCAUCUUCGGGGGUAGAGCACUGUUUCGGCUAGGGGGUCAUCCCGACUUACCAACCCGAUGCAAACUACGAAUACCGAAGAAUGUUAUCACGGGAGACACACGGCGGGUGCUAACGUCCGUCGUGAAGAGGGAAACAACCCAGACCGCCAGCUAAGGUCCCAAAGUCAUGGUUAAGUGGGAAACGAUGUGGGAAGGCACAGACAGCCAGGAUGUUGGCUUAGAAGCAGCCAUCAUUUAAAGAAAGCGUAAUAGCUCACUGGUCGAGUCGGCCUGCGCGGAAGAUGUAACGGGGCUAAACCAUGCACCGAAGCUGCGGCAGCGACACUAUGUGUUGUUGGGUAGGGGAGCGUUCUGUAAGCCUGCGAAGGUGGCCUGUGAGGGUCGCUGGAGGUAUCAGAAGUGCGAAUGCUGACAUAAGUAACGAUAAAGCGGGUGAAAAGCCCGCUCGCCGGAAGACCAAGGGUUCCUGUCCAACGUUAAUCGGGGCAGGGUGAGUCGACCCCUAAGGCGAGGCCGAAAGGCGUAGUCGAUGGGAAACAGGUUAAUAUUCCUGUACUUGGUGUUACUGCGAAGGGGGGACGGAGAAGGCUAUGUUAGCCGGGCGACGGUUGUCCCGGUUUAAGCAUGUAGGCUGGUUAUCCAGGCAAAUCCGGAUAAUCAAGGCUGAGGUGUGAUGACGAGGCACUACGGUGCUGAAGUAACAAAUGCCCUGCUUCCAGGAAAAGCCUCUAAGCAUCAGGUAACAUCAAAUCGUACCCCAAACCGACACAGGUGGUCAGGUAGAAAAUACCAAGGCGCUUGAGAGAACUCGGGUGAAGGAACUAGGCAAAAUGGUGCCGUAACUUCGGGAGAAGGCACGCUGGUGUGUAGGUGAAGCCCCUGCGGGUGGAGCUGAGACCAGUCGAAGAUACCAGCUGGCUGCAACUGUUUAUUAAAAACACAGCACUGUGCAAACACGAAAGUGGACGUAUACGGUGUGACGCCUGCCCGGUGCCGGAAGGUUAAUUGAUGGGGUUAUCCGUAAGGAGAAGCUCUUGAUCGAAGCCCCGGUAAACGGCGGCCGUAACUAUAACGGUCCUAAGGUAGCGAAAUUCCUUGUCGGGUAAGUUCCGACCUGCACGAAUGGCGUAAUGAUGGCCAGGCUGUCUCCACCCGAGACUCAGUGAAAUUGAACUCGCUGUGAAGAUGCAGUGUACCCGCGGCAAGACGGAAAGACCCCGUGAACCUUUACUAUAGCUUGACACUGAACAUUGAGCCUUGAUGUGUAGGAUAGGUGGGAGGCUUUGAAGCGUGGACGCCAGUCUGCGUGGAGCCAACCUUGAAAUACCACCCUUUAAUGUUUGAUGUUCUAACGUUGGCCCCUGACCGGGGUUGCGGACAGUGUCUGGUGGGUAGUUUGACUGGGGCGGUCUCCUCCCAAAGCGUAACGGAGGAGCACGAAGGUUAGCUAAUCCUGGUCGGACAUCAGGAGGUUAGUGCAAUGGCAUAAGCUAGCUUGACUGCGAGCGUGACGGCGCGAGCAGGUGCGAAAGCAGGUCAUAGUGAUCCGGUGGUUCUGAAUGGAAGGGCCAUCGCUCAACGGAUAAAAGGUACUCCGGGGAUAACAGGCUGAUACCGCCCAAGAGUUCAUAUCGACGGCGGUGUUUGGCACCUCGAUGUCGGCUCAUCACAUCCUGGGGCUGAAGUAGGUCCCAAGGGUAUGGCUGUUCGCCAUUUAAAGUGGUACGCGAGCUGGGUUUAGAACGUCGUGAGACAGUUCGGUCCCUAUCUGCCGUGGGCGCUGGAGAAUUGAGGGGGGCUGCUCCUAGUACGAGAGGACCGGAGUGGACGCAUCACUGGUGUUCGGGUUGUCAUGCCAAUGGCACUGCCCGGUAGCUAAAUGCGGAAGAGAUAAGUGCUGAAAGCAUCUAAGCACGAAACUUGCCCCGAGAUGAGUUCUCCCUGAGACUUUAAGUCUCCUGAAGGAACGUUGAAGACGACGACGUUGAUAGGCCGGGUGUGUAAGCGCAGCGAUGCGUUGAGCUAACCGGUACUAAUGAACCGUGAGGCUUAACCUU
rnacentral:rRNA from 1 species